UUUUUGUGCUUUACAUUUUCAUUCAUUUUAUAGUAUUUAACAAUUUUCAUACUUAUGCCCAUUAUAAUCUCAAUAAAAUAGGACACGGAUACUACAGGACUCCACAAACACCAAUAAACGUAAAGUGAAAUGUUCAGAGGCCAUAGAACUCCAAUGGUUGGCAACUGAUGUUCAACCAAAGAUAUCAUAAUAAAACUCCAAAAAAAAAAAAAUACAUAUCACGCAACUCCGAACCAC
rnacentral:lncRNA from 1 species